UACGUAGGGUCCGAGCGUUGUCCGGAUUUAUUGGGCGUAAAGAGCUCGUAGGCGGUUUCGUAAGUCGGAUGUGAAAACUCAGGGCUCAACCCGGAGACGCAUCCGAUACUGCGAGUGACUGGAGUCUGGUAGGGGAUCACGGAAUACCUGGUGUAGCGGUGAAAUGCGCAGAUAUCAGGUGGAACACCGAUGGCGAAGGCAGUGAUCUGGGCCAGUACUGACGCUGAGGAGCGGAAAGCGUGGGGAGCAAACAGG
rnacentral:rRNA from 1 species